AAAAAAACUUUUGUCUAAAUAUAAGAAAAACUAUAAGCACAAUGUAAGACAAAUUAUAGAAUUUUAUAAUCAUGAACUAUCAAAUUCCAGGUACAACAUUUAAUCAAAGUAUAUAAAGCUUUCAAGUAUAUUAUAAUAAUCUCCUCUCAGCGGUAAUAACAAAAGCCUUAUCUAGAUUGUCAAUCUUUUUAUCGAACUCCAUCUCUUGCUAUUAAAAUAUAGUUUCUCCAUGUCCUUAGAAAUCCACAUAACCAUAAAAGGUAAAGAGAAGACAAACAUAAUCAUUGAGAGACCAACCAAAUGUUAGAAGGUGAUCCUGUCAUAACAUAUACAGCCAACAACCAUGUACACAAUUAAUGGAAAUUAAGACCAAUAACCUGAAAAUUUCAAAUUCGAUGAAACAUGAAUGCUACUUAAUCUAUAACAUAAGAAUCCAUAUUAUCGACACUUAAAUGUAUAAAGAAAAUGAGCACAUUAUAAAACAAGAAUGAGUAUAUAAUAUGUUUUGUUCUUAAUUUAAUAUUUUUACUUUUAACUCCAAUCAUAACUCAAAUGGCAAAAAUCAAUAUUGCUAUGAAGUUUUCUUUCAACCUUAAUGGUAAAGAAAAAAUGUGUAGGUGCUGAAUCACGUUUUAGGGACUGUUUGGAUCACUUGUGAAACUCAUAAACUUAAGUUACUUUUACAAUUUGUUUUCAGUUUAUUUCAAUAAAUUUAUGUAAAAAAAGUAUGAUUAUCUUAAUGUUUAAAUAAGUUAUUUAUCUAAUAGAGCUAAGUAUAUGAAGCAAUCAUUUGGGUU
rnacentral:lncRNA from 1 species